AUUGAACGCUGGCGGCAGGCCUAACACAUGCAAGUCGAGCGGAUGAAGGGAGCUUGCUCCUGGAUUCAGCGGCGGACGGGUGAGUAAUGCCUAGGAAUCUGCCUGGGAGUGGGGGAUAACGUCCGGAAACGGGCGCUAAUACCGCAUACGUCCUGAGGGAGAAAGUGGGGGAUCUUCGGACCUCCCGCUAUCAGAUGAGCCUAGGUCGGAUUAGCUAGUUGGUGGGGUAAAGGCCUACCAAGGCGACGAUCCGUAACUGGUCUGAGAGGAUGAUCAGUCACACUGGAACUGAGACACGGUCCAGACUCCUACGGGAGGCAGCAGUGGGGAAUAUUGGACAAUGGGCGAAAGCCUGAUCCAGCCAUGCCGCGUGUGUGAAGAAGGUCUUCGGAUUGUAAAGCACUUUAAGUUGGGAGGAAGGGCAGUAAGUUAAUACCUUGCUGUUUUGACGUUACCAACAGAAUAAGCACCGGCUAACUUCGUG
rnacentral:rRNA from 1 species